CCUUCUCCCUUUCAUGUUUGUAACUUUGCAAAAUUAGUAGUGACGACACCUCCCUUCUCACAUUCACGUUUCAGCAAUUUUACAAGAUCAAUGACAGCACCUCCCUUCUCCCAUCCACGUUUCAGCAAUUUUGCAUGAUCAGUGACCGCACUUAACGACAAAAUUUCACGUUGCCUCCUUUCGUGCAAGAUCAGUAGCAGCACAAUCUCCCGUUUCUCUUGUUUUACAGCAACAUUAUAUCUUGCUAUAUUUUUUGUCUCGUCUUUUGUAUGUCAUAAUUCAAUCCCCUUUCACAAUUUUGGUAAUUCCUUUUUGGAAUGAACGGAUCAUCAUGAUCAGCAAGGAGAACCUUUCUUUUCUUCUUAAAUUCUGCUUGCUGGACAGCUGAAGGGUAAUGGGAAGAACUGUACAUUAGAGUACUGGUUGGUUGAUUGAUCACGCUUUUCUGAAAUUUGGUGGUCUAGACAUAUACACGUUUUAAUUGUGUUGUUAUGAUAUAUGAAACUGUAAUGCAAAUGGCUAUAGAUAGAUCUAAGUCUUUGUUGGAAUAAUUUGUGUUUGUCAUAUGUUCUUGUAAGAUUGGUUAUUAAUGGCCUCUAGUUUGAUUAGCUGGUGGAGGGUUAAUUCUCUCGAACAUAUAAUUAUUGUUUGUCAUAUGUUGAUAUUAUUCCUUUGUUUGGCGCCCUUGCAUAGCUAGAGGAGGCUCCAG
rnacentral:lncRNA from 1 species